CUUGCAUUAAUUGCCACCACAUGUUGUUUUUUAUUGAACAAAAUUUCUUUGGUGGCGGGAGCAAUCCUACCGCCAGAGGUUAUAACUAAACCAAACUUUUUAUUUACAGUCAAACUUGAUUUAUUAUUACAAUAGUCAAAACUUUCAACAACGGAUCUCUUGGUUCUCGCAUCGAUGAAGAACGCAGCGAAAUGCGAUACGUAAUAUGAAUUGCAGAUAUUCGUGAAUCAUCGAAUCUUUGAACGCACAUUGCGCCCUUUGGUAUUCCAAAGGGCAUGCCUGUUUGAGCGUCAUUUCUCCCUCAAACCCCCGGGUUUGGUGUUGAGCAAUACGCUAGGUUUGUUUGAAAGAAUUUAACGUGAAAACUUAUUUUAAGCGACUUAGGUUUAUCCAAAAACGCUUAUUUUGCUAGUGGCCACCACAAUUUAUUUCAUAACUUUGACCUCAAAUCAGGUAGGACUACCCGCUGAACUUAAGCAUAUCAAUAAGCGGAGGAAAAGGAUCAUUACUGUUUUGCUUAAUUGCACCACAUGUGUUUUUUAUUGAACAAAUUUCUUUGGUGGCGGGAGCAAUCCUACCGCCAGAGGUUAUAACUAACCCAAACUUUUUUAUUUACGGCAAAACUUGAUUUAUUAUCACAAUAG
rnacentral:rRNA from 1 species